AGAAAAAUGGAGGAUGGCUCGAGGAGAAGAGGUUUGAAGAAGUGACAAAAGAGAGAUUUGUGAGAGAGUAGAAAUGGGCGUCUCAAGCUGAGUUGAGGAGGAGUUUGAAGCUUCGGUCCAGCGAGACAUAUGAUGCGUUAGAGAGCGUGUGUAUUGGAUUGAGAUCAAUUAAAGGGGUGGAAAAGAUGUCCAAUUAUAUGAUCAGUAGUGGGUUUGGUCCGGAUGAGUAUUUGGGGAACAAGUUCUUGUUGAUGCAAGUAAAAUACGGGAUGAGGAUUGAUGCACACGGACUGUUUGAUGAAAUGCCAAUAAAGAAUAUUUUAUAGUUUUUUUAA